rnacentral:sRNA from 1 species
UUAUACAUGCAUUUGUAUCUAUGUGUAUGUGUAUUUGUAUGUGUAUGUGUAUAAAUUUUGGCUUUGAAUGUGAUCGAGCCGUACAGUGCAAUGUGUUUCAAAUAGUAACAAAAUUCUUUAUAUAUAUAUAUAUUUUAUUAUUAUUUGAACCGCAUCAUAUUUUAUCCGCAGUUGAACAGUAUAUCUUUAUUCGGAAUCUUUAAAUUCGACCUAAUAUCGUUUAAAAGGUUAAC